rnacentral:rRNA from 1 species
AUUGAACGCUAGCGGCAUGCUUCACACAUGCAAGUCGAACGGUAACAGGUCUUCGGAUGCUGACGAGUGGCGAACGGGUGAGUAAUGCAUCGGAACGUGCCCAGUCGUGGGGGAUAACGCAGCGAAAGCUGUGCUAAUACCGCAUACGAUCUAUGGAUGAAAGCGGGGGACCUUAGGGCCUCGCGCGAUUGGAGCGGCCGAUGUCAGAUUAGCUAGUUGGUGGGGUAAAGGCCCACCAAGGCGACGAUCUGUAGCUGGUCUGAGAGGACGACCAGCCACACUGGGACUGAGACACGGCCCAGACUCCUACGGGAGGCAGCAGUGGGGAAUUUUGGACAAUGGGCGCAAGCCUGAUCCAGCAAUGCCGCGUGCAGGAAGAAGGCCUCGG